rnacentral:rRNA from 1 species
GAUGAACGCUGGCGGCGUGCCUAAUACAUGCAAGUCGAGCGAAUGGAUUAAGAGCUUGCUCUUAUGAAGUUAGCGGCGGACGGGUGAGUAACACGUGGGUAACCUGCCCAUAAGACUGGGAUAACUCCGGGAGACCGAGGCUAAUACCGGAUAACAUUUUGAACCGCAUGGUUCGAAAUUGAAAGGCGGCUUCGGCUGUCACUUAUGGAUGGACCCGAGUCGCAUUAGCUAGUUGGUGAGGUAACGGCUCACCAAGGCAACGAUGCGUAGCCGACCUGAGAGGGUGAUCGGCCACACUGGGACUGAGACACGGCCCAGACUCCUACGGGAGGCAGCAGUAGGGAAUCUUCCGCAAUGGACGAAAGUCUGACGGAGCAACGCCGCGUGAGUGAUGAAGGCUUUCGGGUCGUAAAACUCUGUUGUUAGGGAAGAACAAGUGCUAGUUGAAUAAGCUGGCACCUUGACGGUACCUAACCAGAAAGCCACGGCUAACUACGUGCCAGCCGCCGCGGUAA